rnacentral:other from 1 species
CUCAACCUGCUGUGCCCGUGAUGGCGUAAUGCGUUUGAGCCAACACCCAUAUGACGGGCGUCAAACGUCUGGUGAUUCGGUGAUAGACCUGCGCGGUUAAGACCAAGUUAACAGUCAGAUGCCCACCCUGCGAAAGCAGGUUCAAAAACAUCGCGGCACACGGCAUAGCGGGAUCCUU